GACGAACGCUGGCGGCGUGCCUAAUACAUGCAAGUUGAGCGCUGAAGGUUGGUACUUGUACCAACUGGAUGAGCAGCGAACGGGUGAGUAACGCGUGGGGAAUCUGCCUUUGAGCGGGGGACAACAUUUGGAAACGAAUGCUAAUACCGCAUAAAAACUUUAAACACAAGUUUUAAGUUUGAAAGAUGCAUUUGCUUCACUCAAAGAUGAUCCCGCGUUGUAUUAGCUAGUUGGUGAGGUAAAGGCUCACCAAGGCGAUGAUACAUAGCCGACCUGAGAGGGUGAUCGGCCACAUUGGGACUGAGACCCGGCCCAGACUCCUUCGGGAGGCAGCAGUAGGGAUUCUGCGGCCAGGGACGAAAGACUUACCGAGCAACGCCGCGGGAGUGAGGAGGGUUUUCGGAUCGUAAAACUCUGUUGGUAGAGUGGAACGUUGGUGAGCGUGGAAAGCUCAUCAAGUGACGGUAACUACCCAGAAAGGGACGGCUAACUACGUG
rnacentral:rRNA from 1 species